GCCAGGUGUGGUGGUGCACACCUGUAAUUUCUAUCACUUGGGAGGCUGAGGCAGGAGAAUCUCAAGUUUGAGGCUAGCCUCAGCAACUCAGUGAGAUCCCGUCUCCA
rnacentral:sRNA from 1 species